AUUGAACGCUGGCGGCAUGCCUUACACAUGCAAGUCGAACGGCAGCGGGGGAGAAGAUUGCUUUUCCUGCCGGCGAGUGGCGAACGGGUGAGUAAUACAUCGGAACGUGCCCUGUAGUGGGGGAUAACUAGUCGAAAGAUUAGCUAAUACCGCAUACGACCUGAGGGGGAAAGUGGGGGACCACAAGGCCCCAUGCUAUAGGAGCGGCCGAUGUCUGAUUAGCUAGUUGGUGGGGUAAAGGCCUACCAAGGCGACGAUCAGUAGCUGGGCUGAGAGGAGGAUAAGCGACACUGGGACUGAGACACGGCCCAGACUGCUACGGGAGGCAGCAGUGGGGAAUUUUGGACAAUGGGCGAAAGCCUGAUCCAGCAAUGCCGCGUGUGUGAAGAAGGCCUUCGGGUUGUAAAGCACUUUUGUCCGGAAAGAAAUGGCUCUGGUUAAUACCUGGGGUCGAUGACGGUACCGGAAGAAUAAGGACCGGCUAACUACGUGCCAGCCGCCGCCGUAAAAC
rnacentral:rRNA from 1 species